rnacentral:rRNA from 1 species
AUUGAACGCUAGCGGCAGGCCUAACACAUGCAAGUCGAACGAGUGGCGGACGGGUGAGUAAUGUCUGGGAAACUGCCUGAUGGAGGGGGAUAACUACUGGAAACGGUAGCUAAUACCGCAUACCAUCGGAUGUGCCCAGAUGGGAUUAGCUAGGAGGUGGGGUAAAGGCUCACCUAGGCGACGAUCCCUAGCUGGUCUGAGAGGAUGACCACCCACACUGGAACUGAGACACGGUCCAGACUCCUACUCAGAUCAUCAGGUUACAAUAUUGCACAAUGGGCGCAAGCCUGAUUCAGCCAUGCCGCGUGUAUGAAGAAGGCCUUCGGGUUGUAAAGUACUUUCAGCGGAGAGGCGUUACCUGCAGAAGAAGCACCGGCUAACUCCGUGCCAGCAGCCGCGGUAAUAC